GUGCUCACCUUGGCAGCACAUAUAUUAAAAUGGAACAGUGCAGAGAUUAGCAUGGCCCCUGCACAAGGGUGACAUGCAAAUUUGUGAAGCAUUCCAUAUUUUU
ensembl:snRNA U6 U6 spliceosomal RNA